AUCCUUUUGUAGUUCAUGAGCAUGGCAAUUGGGUUUUCACAUUCACAUGUGAGAUGUGCCUCCCUCAAACCUGGAUACGACACUGGCACAUUACCUGCCUGCCA